rnacentral:rRNA from 1 species
UGCUUUUCUUGAUUAGUGGCGCACGGGUGAGUAAUGCAUAGAUAAUGUGCCCCUUAGUUCGGGAUAGCCACUGGAAACGGUGAUUAAUACCGGAUACUCCUUCUUGUUAUAAGACAAGUCGGGAAAGUUUUUCGCUAAGGGAUCAGUCUAUGUUCCAUCAGCUUGUUGGUGAGGUAAUGGCUCACCAAGGCUAUGACGGAUAUCUGGUUUGAGAGGAUGAUCAGACACACUGGAACUGAGACACGGUCCAGACUCCUACGGGAGGCAGCAGUGAGGAAUAUUGCACAAUGGAGGAAACUCUGAUGCAGCAACGCCGCGUGGAGGAUGACGCAUUUCGGUGUGUAAACUCCUUUUAUUAGGGAAGAUAAUGACGGUACCUAAUGAAUAAGCACCGGCUAACUCCGUGCCAGCAGCCGCGGUAAUACGGAGGGUGCAAGCGUUACUCGGAAUCACUGGGCGUAAAGGGUGCGUAGGCUGGCUUUUAAGUCAGAUGUGAAAUCCAAUGGCUCAACCAUUGAACUGCAUUUGAAACUGAAAGCCUAGAGUUCAGAAGGGGCAGAUGGAAUUAGUGGUGUAGGGGUAAAAUCCGUAGAUAUCACUAGGAAUAUCAAAAGCGAAGGCGAUCUGCUGGGAUGAUACU